rfam:Camelus ferus unplaced genomic scaffold scaffold870, whole genome shotgun sequence.
GAGGGUGUAGCUCAAGUGGUAGAGCGCCUGCUUAGCAUACACAAGGUCCUGGGUUCAAUCCCCAGUAUCCCCU